UACGGAGGUCCCAAGCGUUGUUCGGAUUCACUGGGCGUAAAGGGUGCGUAGGUGGCCAGGUAAGUUCGGUGUGAAAGCUCGGAGCUUAACUCCGAAAUGUCAUUGAAUACUAUCUGGCUGGAGGGUCGGAGGGGAGACUGGAAUUCCUGGUGUAGCGGUGAAAUGCGCAGAUAUCAGGCAGGAACACCGGUGGCGAAGGCGGGUCUCUGGGCCGAGUACUGACGCUGGAGGAGCGAAAGCGUGGGGAGCGAACAGG
rnacentral:rRNA from 1 species